UUUUGGAGCACGGGGUACAAACAGACAGAGAAACUACAGCGAAUGUUUGCGGUGGAGACUCGCGGCAGAUGGCUGCCCUCCCAGAGUCUGCUUCUACCGGAGACGUCCUACUGUUAAAAGGUUCCUUCUGCUCAUAGAGAAUAGUUAUGUCAUAGAGGUUUCCAUCUAAAAUACUGAAAGAUGGCUGGAGGGAUGUGUCUGCGUUUGAUCCGCAGAUGCUGGCAGGCUGAGCCCCGGCAGGGAAACAAGAGUAGGGAAUCUCAUCCUCUGUUUCCAGCUUCCAGGGACCGGCUCCAGGUGUAAGACAGGAACAAGGACUGAAUGAUGGGAGAACUAGCCUGGCAU